rnacentral:lncRNA from 1 species
CUUGUUUUCUUAGCAGAAGACAAGUCCACUUGUCGAAAUGUUGGCUCCUGCCUUUACCUUGUUCUCGAUUUGCUCAUCGUCUUGGUUGUCAAUCUCCCGCCUUCCCCGCGUUUUACCAAG